AAUAAAUCUGUUUAAAAGCAAUGAACGGAUGCCUUGGGUAAAAAAGAGGAUGAAGGACGUGACAGGCUGCGAAAAGUCUCGAUGAGGUGCCAAUAACCGCUUGGAGUCGAGAAUGUCCGAAUGGGGAAACCUAAGCCGUAUAACGGCUUGCCGAAAUGGCCAAUACUUGGUGAAGUGAAAUAUCUCAGUAACCAAAGGAAAAGAAAUCGUAAUGAGAUUCCCUUAGUAGUGACGAGCGAACAGGGAAGAGCCCAAACCGAAUUAGUGUAAGCUUCUAGGCGUUGCUAAUUACGGUGUUGUAGGGCUAUGUUGGAGUAGCUAGAACUGCUUCGAGAGUAUACUCUAUAAAUAGAAGAACUACUUAAAAGGUAGACCAUAGAGGGUUUAAGUCCCGUAUUUAAAAGUUAUAGAAACUCUUCAUAGUUCCUGAGUAAUGUCGGACACGUGAAAUCCGGCAUGAAUCUGCCCAGACCGUUGGGUAAGGCUAAAUACUUUUUUACACCGAUAGCGUAUAGUACCGUGAGGGAAAGGUGAAAAGAACCCCUGGAAGGGGAGUGAAAUAGAUUCUGAAAUUCAUUGCUUACAAUUGAGUGGGGGCCCACGCAGCAAUGCGGGGUGACCACGUACCUAUUGACGAAUGGGUCAGCGAGUCAUUGGUGCCAGCAAGGUUAAGCCAGUUAUAGGCGGAGCCGUAGCGAAAGCGAGUCUGAAUAGGGCGAUUGAGUUGGUAUUAAUGGACCCGAAGCGUUAUGAGCUAGGCAUGGGCAGGUUGAAGAGUCGGGAAACCGGCUUGGAGGACCGAACGGGUUGGAGCUGCAAAUCCUUCCGAUGACCUGUGUUUAGGAGUGAAAAGCUCAUCGAAUAACGUAAUAGCUGGUUCUCUCCGAAAUGCAUUUAGGUGCAGCCUAUAAUUAAGAUCUGAUGGAGGUAGAGCUCUGAUAAGGCUAGGGGUGUCGAGAGACAUUACCAAACCUUGUUAAACUUCGAAUGCUGUCAGGAAUAUUAUAGAGUGAGACUGCGGGCGCAAGGUUCGUAGUCAAAAGGAUAACAGUCCAGACUUCUAAUUAAGGUCCCUAAAGUAUAGCUAAGUGGUAAAGGAGGUGUUUUUACUUUGACAUCCAGGAGGUUUGCUUAGAAGCAGCAAUCCUUUAAAGAAAGCGUAACAGCUCACUGGACAAGUGAAGAUGCGCCGAAGAUGUAACGGGGCUAAGCUAUAUACCGAAAUUGAAGGCCUUCAACGUUAAGUUGGAGUGCGGUAGGAGAGUGUUCUUUCAGGAUGAAGCUAGACUGUGAGGUUUGGUGGACUAGAAAGAAGUAAAAAUGCUGACAUGAGUAACGACGCAAAGCGAAAAUCUUUGCUGCCGAAAACCUAAGAAUUCCUACGCAACGUUCAUCGUCGUAGGGUUAGUCGAGACCUAAGGUGAUGCCUGAAAAGGUACAUCGAUGGAUGGCUGGUUAAUAUUCCAGCACUUAUAUAUUCAGUGAUGGGGUAACGUAUUGGGAUUUGUAAGAGCUUGUUAAGGAUAUGAGUCGAAAGAAUAAAGUUUUUCUGGCUUUGGCUAGAAAGGUAUUGGUAGGAAAAUCCGCCAGUAUUGAUACUGAGUUUGAUCGGAAUCGCUUCCUUCGGGUUGUGAAAUUCUUAUCGUUCUAGUACCGAGAAAAACCUCUAAACUUAUGGAUAUAUAACUCGUAUUGAGAUCAGACACUUGUAGGUUGGUAGAGUAUACCUAGGCAAUCGAGAUAACUAAUGGAUAAGGAACUUGGCAAAAUAGCGGGCGUACUUUCGAAAUAAGCCCUACCCUAGCAAUAGGGUUGCAACAAAAGACAUGGGGGGAACUGUUUAUCACAAACACAGCUUGCUGCUAACUCGCAAGAGGAUGUAUAGCAAGUGAUGCCUGUCCAAUGCCAGAAUGUUAUGCUCUCUUGUGCAAGCUCGAGAGUUAAGCACUGGUGAAUGACGGCCGUAACUAUGACGGUCCUAAGGUAGCGAAAUUCCUUGUCAGGUAAGUUCUGACGCGCAUGAAUGGCAUAAUCAUCCCCAUACUGUCUUGUCCUUAGACUCGGUGAAAUUACAUUCCCGGUAAAAAUGCCGGGUAGUUGCAGUUAGACGGAAAGACCCUGUGAAGCUUUACUAUAGAUUGAUAUUGGAAUGUAGUAUGUGUUGCUCAGCAUAAGUGGGAGCCUUUGAGGCGGCAACUUCGGUUGUCGUGGAGGCAAAAUUGAGAUACCACUCAUUAUAUAUAGCAUUUCUAACCCCGCUAUUCAGCGGGGAACAGUGUCAGUUGGGUAGUUUACCUGGGGCUGGUGCCUCCUAAAAAGUAACGGAGGCGUGCAAAGGUUUGCUUGUCACGGAUGGAAACCGUGGUGGACGUGUAUUCGCAUAAGCAAGCUUGACUGUGAGACUGACAGGUCGAACAGAUACGAAAGUAGGCGAAAGUGAUCCGGAUCUUCCAAAUGGAAGGGGAUCCGCUCAACGGAUAAAAGUUACUCCGGGGAUAACAGGCUAAUGGAAUCUAAGCGUUCAUAGCGACGAUUCCGUUUGGCACCUCGAUGUCGACUCGUCGCAUCCUGGGGCUGUAGAAGGUCCCAAGGGUUGGGUUGUUCACCCAUUAAAGCGGGACGCGAGUUGGGUUCAGAACGUCGUGAGACAGUUCGGUCCCUAUCUACUGCAACCGUAAGAAAUUUGAGAGAUGCUGUCCCUAGUACGAGAGGACCGGGAUGGACAAGCCUCUGGUAGUACCAGUUGUUCCGCCAGGAGCACCGCUGGAUAGCUAUGCUUGGAAAAGGUAACCGCUGAAAGCAUAUAAGUGGGAAACUUGUCUCAAGAUUAGAUUUCUCUCCCGUAGCAAUACGGGCUAAGACCUCCGCGAGACUAGCGGUUUGAUAGGCAUCAUGUGUAAGUGUGGCAACAUAUUGAGCAGAGAUGUACUAAUUGGUCGAGUGGGUUUAUUUC
rnacentral:rRNA from 1 species